rnacentral:rRNA from 1 species
CAGCAGCCGCGGGAAUACAGAGGGUGCGAGCGUUAAUCGGAUUUACUGGGCGUAAAGCGUGCGUAGGCGGCUUUUUAAGUCGGAUGUGAAAUCCCUGAGCUUAACUUAGGAAUUGCAUUCGAUACUGGGAAGCUAGAGUAUAAGAGAGGAUGGUAGAAUUCCAGGUGUAGCGGUGAAAUGCGUAGAGAUCUGGAGGAAUACCGAUGGCGAAGGCAGCCAUCUGGCCUAAUACUGACGCUGAGGUACGAAAGCAUGGGGAGCAAACAGGAUUAGAUACCCCCGUAGUCCCUGUCUCUUAUAC